rnacentral:lncRNA from 1 species
GGAUAAGCUUUCGUUUGAACUGAAUCUUCUAAAAAUAGGUCCUUUAUCUCUCUUUUUUCUUUCCUUUUGUUUUUUUUUCUUUUUCUUUUUGAUUUGCAUUCACCAGAAGUGCACUCCUUAAUUUAUUAAAUCGUUGACUAGUAAUUUAAAGUACUGUAUUUAAAUGCAUAUGUUAGUCAAAUGGGAACAAUAACUUUUGGAGAUCAAAGCAUGUUCAAAUAUUCAGCAUUAUGGCCUAUUUGAUUAAGGUGUAACUUGAAUUAAUUAAUGCAUGAAUUCAAUAAUAAUAAUAACAAUAAUAAUAACAAAAAAAAAAAAAGUGCUUGAUAGACCGAAGGCCUGAAUGAACUGAUUAGAGAAACCUGAUUGUUUUCCUGCAUUGCUCAGGGAAACGUGUUGGCUUUUGUCCAGGCAUUGUCGGAAAGGAAGAUAUCCCAUCCCUUAAAGGGAAAGCUAUAUGGAAAAUUAAGAAGUCAAGUUAUAUAUAACAACACCUAAAACCUAGUAUCCUUUAUAGUUGAAAGGUGCAGAUGCAUGCUUUUUGGAGCAUUCUCAGAAUGUAAAUGAAAAAUAUUUAUUAUAUGCAUCCAAAUUGCAGCAGCUGGUUUCUUUUGCAGUCAUUGGUUGAGACUUUUUUGUAUUCCCCUAAAACUCACCGAAGAGACUCAACAGAUUGAUAUAGGUAGUUGCGCAGUGCCUUUACCUUACAUCCCCUAAAUUGCUGAAAGUGCCUCCAGGAACUGAGCUGGUCAGAGAUAGCAAAGGAAAGGGUUAAAAGGCACCAACACAAGCACUGGAGUGUUCUGUGCUGCCUCCUGGCACUGCACAGGACAGGAUAGAGAAAGAAAGAGCAAGAGUGAGGGAGAGGGAUGCAGGAGCAGAGGGCAGAGACCAUCAGCGCCCAUGGGAUACCUUCCUUCCCCAGCCAGUCUGAUAUUGCAGGGCUCAGCAUUUGCUUCUGCCAAAUAACUCAUAGUUGUGUUUAUGCAAGACUUUGAGUUCCCCAAGGUUGUUUAUAGAGACAUAGCUGCCAUCAUUGUAUCUGCCCUUCCUUUCCCUGAGAUGGCUUUUUGGCAGCCUGUCCCAGCUUGGGAGAGGCUGCAGGAUGCAGAAGGUACUAGGGCUCAGCAUGAACUGCGACAUCACCCAGUCAGGCAACCAGACUGCAGGGCUGUGCUUUUCUUUCCCUUGGAUUC